CUUGGGUUACAGCCAAAACAGGGGCAAAUCCUCAAACUGCAAAAUAAGGCGUGGCAAAUCCUCAAAUUCCCCUCGAAUGGUCUGAGUCGCAGUAGUGCAUCCAGCGACCAGAGUUCGACUCUGCACUCUCGUGGAAAAGCUGGAUUUUUUCGACUGGAGGAGCAAUUCCGGCUUUAUCCAGUCGUGGCGAUGCCGGAUCCCGCGACGGCGCCGACGCCGACGCGAGCCACCAACCUCCCCGGCUGCGCUUCCGCGAAACCCUCGGAGAAGGCCCGGAGAAAUUCUCGGAGCAGUAGGCCCGCCGCUCCAGCACUUUUCCUCACCGCCGUCGCCAUCAAGGAUCAGUCGGGGGAUGAACAUCAAGAGGACUGAGCGGACGAUUGAUUAUGAAGAGGAGUAGUUAUUUACUCGGUGAGAGGAAGGACUAUUAUCUAGUGGAGACAAGGUGCAUGGAUAUGGAAAUCUGACUUACUGGCUGUUAUCUGAAAGAAAAUUCCCUCACCACUACUACUUCUCACAUAGCAACGGAUAUCUACCUAGCUUUUUCCACUAGAGCAAGUGCCACUCGCUGCUCAUGACCACUUCUCUAAGAGCAGGGAAGAUCUAGAUAGCUUUUGCUCUGUAGCAAAGGGCCAACAAGAAUCCAUCUCUCAUCUCUCGGCCCCAUUCAAGUACCAGCUCAAGUGCGACUGAACCCUGCCACUACUUCCCAGAGAACAAGAGCAAUCUAUCUAGUUUUACUCUAGAACAAGGGCCAACCAAGACCCGUCUCUCAUCUCUGCGGUUGAUUUUCAAGAACCAGGUCAGGGGAGAAGGAACCCUGGAACAAAUGGCGGGAUUUUUGGAUGUUUUAGCAUCCAAUGUCAGCAACAUGCUCACCGACAGCCAGAUCUGUCUCUCAUCGCCAGUCCAUCGAAGAUACCUAACUGAUUCCAGUUCCACUACAGUACUAUACCUAUUUUUCUCUCUCUAAAAUUCAUGAUCACCUCAAUUUUGUGUGCAAGCCACAUUUUACCUCCAGAAGGAGUUCUCGACUUAGAAGGGAGGCAGCUGGUGACAAGGGAUCAUGGUUCUGUCGGUAUGGACAAAUCAUAUGAUAAGAUAAGGCGUGAGCCUCGGAGUUAUCCUCGUUAUCCUUAUGCUAAGUGAGUGCAACAAGGAAGCUCCAGGUAUGGCUUAUGCUAAGUGAGUUCUCCGAGGUGGCCUUAUGCAAGUUCUACUAUCUGUGGCACCCCCGGCCUCCAUGUAUGGCUUGGCCCUCCGCCACUCACUCAGCGUUUGUACCUCCAGAACUAUUGCCAAUCAAUAAGGUUUUUGUGACUUGUGAGAUUCGAAAAAAAAGGGCGACAACGCAA